UACGGGGGGGGCAAGGCGUUGUUCGGAAUUACUGGGCGUAAAGAGCUCGUAGGCGGCUCAGUAAGUCGGAUGUGAAAACUCGGGGCUCAACCCCGAGACGCCAUCCGAUACUGCUGUGGCUUGAGUCUGGUAGGGGAACACGGAAUUCCUGGUGUAGCGGUGAAAUGCGCAGAUAUCAGGAGGAACACCGAUGGCGAAGGCAGUGUUCUGGGCCAGUACUGACGCUGGAGGAGCGAAAGCCAGGGGAGCAAACGGG
rnacentral:rRNA from 1 species